rnacentral:sRNA from 14 species
AUCGGUCUUCGGUCAAGGGUAUAUGAGUAGCUGCGUUCUCCUGGUAGAACCUCCAAACAAGAUUGAAGGUCCAUUGUAGGAAUGUAGGGUAGUAAAGC